rnacentral:rRNA from 1 species
GGUAGGGGAGCGUUCCAUAUGCAUUGAAGGUAUACCGUAAGGAGUGCUGGAGCGUAUGGAAGUGAGAAUGCCGGUAUAAGUAACGAAAAGAAGGGUGAGAAUCCCUUCCGCCGAAAACCCAAGGUUUCCUGAGGAAGGCUCGUCCUCUCAGGGUAAGUCGGGACCUAAGCCGAGGGCGAAAGCCGUAGGCGAUGGACAACUGGUUGAGAUUCCAGUACCACCUGUCUUCGUUUGAGCGAUGGGGUGACGCAGUAAGGUAGGCGCAGCGCACCGUUGGUUGUGUGCGUCCAAGUCUUUAGGGAGUAGCCAUAGGCAAAUCCGUGGCUAUGUUAAUCCUGAGAGGCGACGGGGAGCGAAAUUUAAGUAGCGAACUGGCUGAUCCUACACUGCCAAGAAAAGCCUCUAGCGAGAAGUGCAGGUGCCCGUACCGUAAACCGACACAGGUGGGUGAGGAGAGAAUCCUAAGGCGCGCGAGAGAACCCUCGUUAAGGAACUCGGCAAAAUAACCCCGUAACUUCGGGAGAAGGGGUGCUCUGAUAGCGUGAGUAUAUAAACAUGUACGAGCGUGAGAGAGCCGCAGUGACCAGGCCCAGGCGACUGUUUAGCAAAAACACAGGUCUCUGCCAAAUCGAAAGAUGAAGUAUAGAGGCUGACGCCUGCCCGGUGCUGGAAGGUUAAGGGGAGAGCUUAGCGGCAACGCGAAGGCUUGAACCGAAGCCCCAGUGAACGGCGGCCGUAACUAUAACGGUCCUAAGGUAGCGAAAUUCCUAGUCAGGUAAAUUCUGACCCGCACGAAAGGCGUAACGAUUUGGGCGCUGUCUCAACGAGGGACUCGGUGAAUUUGUAGUACCUGUGAAGAUGCAGGUUACCCGCGACAAGACGGAAAGACCCCGUGGAGCUUUACUGCAGCCUGAUAUUGAUCUUUGGUGUUAGAUGUACAGGAUAGGUGGGAGACUGAGAAUUCAGGGCGCCAGUCUUGUUGGAGUCGCCGGUGGGAUACCACCCUUCUAAUAUCGGAGCUCUAACCGUGGUCCGUGAUCCGGAUCCGGGACAUUGUCAGGCAGGCAGUUUGACUGGGGCGGUCGCCUCCUAAAGAGUAACG